UACGGAGGAUGCAAGCGUUAUCCGGAUUUAUUGGGUUUAAAGGGUGCGCAGGUUGUUUGAUAAGUCAGUGGUGAAAGUCUGUCGCUUAACGGUAGGAUUGCCAUUGAUACUGUUGGACUUGAAUAUGGAUGAGGCAGGCGGAAUGUGUAGUGUAGCGGUGAAAUGCAUAGAUAUUACACAGAACACCGAUUGCGAAGGCAGCUUACUAAUCCAUCAUUGACGCUGAGGCACGAAAGCGUGGGGAUCAAACA
rnacentral:rRNA from 1 species